rnacentral:rRNA from 1 species
UACGUAGGAGGCGAGCGUUGUCCGGAAUUACUGGGCGUAAAGAGCGCGUAGGCGGCACGGUACGACCUGUGUGAAAGCCCCCGGCUCAACUGGGGAGGGUCACAGGUAACGGCCGAGCUAUGAGUGCAGGAGAGGGAAGUGGAACUCCGGGAGUAGCGGUGAAAUGCGUAGAGACCCGGAGGAACACCAGUGGCGAAGGCGGCUUCCUGGUCUGCGACUGACGCUGUGGCGCGAAAGCUAGGGGAGCGAACGGGAUUAGACUACCGUAGUAG